rnacentral:lncRNA from 1 species
ACCAUCUAACAAAUGGAUUGUCCAAAACCCAAAAGGAUCAAACACCUAAGAAUCAGCCAAGCACGGGCCAAGCUCCAACUAGAUUCAACCCAAUCAAAUGCAUAAAUGGGCAAGCCAACUACGAUGGACAGAUAAGGAGCAAACAACCAACACUACCCAAACAAAGUAAUUAACAACUUUAUGUCCAUAAAUUGGUCGGUUGACUAAUUUGACAAGCUUGGGAUAAAUCUAUACCAAACAG